AGCGACCGGCCGGACACGUAGGUGACCGGCCCACAAGUGGAGGCUCCGAUCUCCCACCCGACCGAUCCAAGGAUUGGCGGGUCAACGGUCCGGCUGCGCCCCGCGGAGACUUCGCGGCGGUGCUCCAGAUCCUUGUUGGAGCCCCGCCUGUGUCACCGUCCGGGGCAUUUUUC
rnacentral:ncRNA from 1 species